rnacentral:rRNA from 1 species
CGGCGGACGGGUGAGUAACGCGUGGGUGACCUGCCCCAUACCGGGGGAUAACAGCUGGAAACGGCUGCUAAUACCGCAUAAGCGCACAGAGCUGCAUGGCUCAGUGUGAAAAACUCCGGUGGUACGGGAUGGGCCCGCGUCUGAUUAGGCAGUUGGCGGGGUAACGGCCCACCAAACCGACGAUCAGUAGCCGGCCUGAGAGGGCGACCGGCCACAUUGGGACUGAGACACGGCCCAA